rnacentral:rRNA from 1 species
UACGUAGGUGGCAAGCGUUGUCCGGAAUUAUUGGGCGUAAAGCGCGCGCAGGCGGUCUCUUAAGUCUGAUGUGAAAGCCCCCGGCUCAACCGGGGAGGGUCAUUGGAAACUGGGAGACUUGAGUGCAGAAGAGGAGAGUGGAAUUCCAUGUGUAGCGGCGAAAUGCGUAGAUAUAUGGAGGAACACCAGUGGCGAAGGCGACUCUCUGGUCUGUAACUGACGCUGAGGCGCGAAAGCGUGGGGAGCAAACAGG